GAGUCUCUGUCAUCCUGGCUGGAGUGCAGUGGAGCGAUCCUGGCUCACCAUAACCUCCACCUCCCAGGUUCAAGUAAUUCUCCAGCCUCAAUCUCCUGAGCAGCUGGGGCUACAGGCGUGGGUCACCAUGCCUGGCUAAUUUUUGUAUUUUCAGUACAGAGGGGGUUUCACCAUAUUGACCAGGCUGGUCUCGAACUCCUGACCUCAAGUAAUCAGCCUGCCUCGGCCUCUCAAAGUGCUGGGAUUACAGGCGUGAGCCACCUCGCCCGACCCGCAGAGAGGCACUUUAGCAAACCGGGUGCAUGCACGCAGACUUGACAACAAGACAGAUUGGGUUCAAAUCCAAGGUUCCCCACAUGCUUGCUAUGUGCUUUUUGGUGAGUACUUCUGAGCUUCAGUUUCCUCAUUUUUAAAAUGGGCAUAAUAUAUUCCCCAUCCCAUUACUGGACCUCUGUAUGUAGGCAAAGAUCUUUCGAUUUAUUUCAUUUCAAUCUCAGAUUCCCAGAAAGGGGGAAAGAGACAGAGAGAGAAAGUUGGGUUUUUUAAAAAACAUUUUUGGGGCCACAGCCCCUGUUGAGAACCUGAUGGAACUACAGACACUAUCCCUAUAAAAUAUACUUAUCACAAACAUGCCAAAUUUUGUGCCCAGCUUCAGGACCUCUCCCCCGACAAAGCCCCACAAUCAUUCGUGGACUUCUGAUUAGAAACCCUGGUUUAGAUGACGGGACAAAUGCAGCCAAAGCCUUGGGGUUUGUUUCCGUAUGAGUCAUUUCAUUUCACGGAGAGGAAAGUCUGCUCUCCGGCCAAAGACCACAUCAGUAACCCUGGCCAGCAAAUAUGGCUGUCAAGGAGCUGGAGAAGAGAGAUGAAAAACUCAAGUCACUAUCACACUGACUUUAAAUGCAAUUCAAAGCUUACCCCACUCCAGCCCCCAAAUGAAAGUUUCAUCUCCCCAUAUCAUCGUAAUUCCUUGAAGGGAUUAGGAAAGAACACUCUCCAGCUCCACGAUGUAAUUCAGAAUGACUUUGCAAGCUGCAUGUUAUUUUUUCAAUCAUCACCUGCUAUGGUGAUAAAAAAAUAUGGAAGCAAACGAAACACCCGAUUGAAAUGGUGAUAGAGAGUUCACACAAUGAAAUAUUAUGCAGGCCCAAAAAUGAUCAUUUUGAGUCCUCAAAAGUGAUCAAAAGUAGCAGUGGGAAAGAUGCUUAUGUUAUGAUAAAAAGAAAGAAAAAGAAAAGAGAAGAAUCUAAGGUGCUAUGUCUUUAUGAUUCCAGCAAUGAAAACUGCGCAUGAGACAGAUCAAGAUGAGUAGCUCUUAGGUAAAAGUGUUAGGUUGGCAGUGUUAUUGAUGGUUGAUAUCUGUUUUCAAAAUUUUCUAGGGUAUUAUAUAAUGUUUACAGUUUCAAAGUCAGGAGAAAAUGACACAUCUGUACAAAAUCAGCCUGUUCUUCCAAGUGGCUGUGGCCAGCCUGCCCCUCUAAGUGGUCCAGCUCUUUCUGUGGCUUCUCUGGUGAUUAGGCUGAAAAGGCAGCCGGGCUGCUGCAGACCCGGCAGAGCACCCCCGGGCUUAGACAACCACAGAACCUGAGCUGGGUGACUGGAAACAGUGGCAAGGGCAUAGUCACAUCCCAGCGCCCACCCUGCUUCUUAUCAGCUCCCAUGCAGUUCAAGUCUGCCACAUAGAGACUGGCUCAUGGAAGCAGGUGAGGCAUUUCCACGUCUAAAUCCACGUGAGCCUCUGAUUUUUGUAUUCACGUCAUCCAUGAAUUGGCUGUGAGUCAGAUAUCAAUGACCUGUCCAGGGCAACGGCCCUGUGAGUGGUGGGUGGUAAAGUCCCUGGGCUGCCAAGCCCCAGGCCUGGCUGGCUUCCUGCUGGCAUCGGCUGAUGCUGGAAACAGAUCUGGGGUCCCCAUGACAUCCCUUCGGGUGCUGUGAGGUUAGCUGCUCCCAUAGCAGCCACCGAGAGAGGAUUGCCAACUUUUCAUGCAGUGUAACCUGAAGGAGGGGUAGCAGCUUCAACUGUCAGGCAGCCGCUGUGACCUGGUUAAGGGUUAUGGUCAGCACCUGAGUCAUUGUUGUGAUGCCUCCUAAGUAAUAGCAGCGCCAGCUGCAUGCAGCUCAUGGCCUGCUUGCUCCCCACAGGCUGGGCUGCUAACGACCUUCCUUGCCUGCAGCUGGGGGGAAGUGAUGAGUAGGAGGCACAAAAGGCCCCCAGCAUUUCCUUCCCAAAGCUCUCAGUGGAUGGGCGGGGGCUUCCCUCGAGCCCUGAGAAAACCCCUCCACCACGGCUCCUCUGGCCUCUGCAAAAGUGAGCUGCUCCCUUGUCUGAUGGCCCCAAAGGACAGGACCAGCCCCCAUCACAGUUGCAUUUGGGUCAGAAGGAGAGAUGGAUGCACACAGCUGACACUACAGUGACUGUCUUAUUUCUGCCCCCCCGAGGCCCAGCACGGUGUCUGGCUUUCUGCAUAUCCUCGACCCAGGGGGAAGAGCACAGCCCCACCAUUCAUGGAUCCAUGUCCAAGAGGGAAAAAACAGCCAGCUGUUCAAAGAAGCCCAGUUCUCCUGAGGCUGAGAUCACACAAAGUUCACCCAAAGUUCCAGAAUGUCUGACUCUGAGAGCCUACAAGCCUGAGUGACUUGCACAGCUGAACAUCAGGUUCUCUCUGUGAAGCAGAAACCAAGUCUCGAUCCUAAGAUGUGAACCAUCGCAUGGCAGCUGACCAGGUUGGAGUGGAUUGCUGCAUUUCUGAGCCAGGAAGUGCUCUGGAGUCUGUGCCCAAAAACUGUGGCUGAACCACGGGGCAUGUUUGUUCCAUGCGCCGUCCUGUUUUGCUGGUGUCAGAUUGCAAAUGGGGCUACCUCAUGCUCUGGGAAGACAAACAAGGCAGCUAAGAUAUCCAGGAAUGCUGCCAGUUUGCUUGUUGAAUGUUUGUUCAUGCCGUGCCUGGUACCAGAAUGAGUGAAAGCCACACCCCUUUCCAGGUGGUGCACAAGCCAAGAGCAGUUGGCCAGCAGACGUGAUAAAAAACACUGUUGGCCGGGCAUGGUGGCUCGUGCCUGUAAUCCCAGCACUUUGGGAGGCCAAAGCGGGCGGAUCAUCUGUGGUCAGGAGUUCAAGACCAGCCUGGCCAACAUGGUGAAACACCGUCUCUACUAAAAAUACAAAAAAUUAGCCGGGUAUGGUGGCAGACGCCUGUAAUCCCAGCUACUCGGGAGGCUGAGGCAGGAGAAUCGCUUGAAUCCAGGCGGCAAAGAUUGGCAGUGAGCCGGGAUUGUGCCACUGCACUCCAGCCUGGGUGACAGAGCGAGACUCUGUCUCAAAAAAAAAAAAAAAAAAAAAGAAAAGAAAAGAAAAAGAAAAUGAAAAACAAACAAACUAACUAACAAAAAAACCACCGUUCCCCGUGAGCUACUGCCUGUCUACGAUUGUCAGGCAUUUUCUAGGCAUUAAUUCUAAUCCUCACAAUGACCUUCAUGGUAGCUCUUGGUACUGCCCAUGUGUAGAGGAGGAAACUGAGGUUCAAGAGAUGGAGGGAUUUGCCCAAAGCAGCCUGACAGCAAAGGGUAGACCCAGGGAUAGAACCUCACCCUGCACCACGUACACUUCCUCCCCACCUCCGCCGCCAGGAUGGGGAUGGGAAAGAAGGUGUGCAUUCCUUUUGUUUGAACAUCUACGUGGCAGUGGGUUAGAGCUGAUUUCAGUAGAGAAGUUACAUAUAAGGGAGGCUUUGUCCCCAGUAUCUCUUCGGGGUACAAUUCUUGAAAAAGGGUUGAAUAUUAAGAGCCAAAGUCCGGUUUCCCCAAAAAUCCCUCCCAGCACUGGUGAAUGACAUACCAUCCUUCUCUUUUACCACCUUGUCUCACUCCUGCCUCCAAAGCCUGCCUCAUGUCUCGGCCUUCCUGAUGAUAGAAUGAUCAUCCCUGUAUGCAACAAGCUUCCCCUGACACCAGUGUUCAUCAGUCUGUCCUCUGCACCUUGGUUUCUCAAGGUAUCAUCAGGGAUUGGCCGGUGGAGAUGAAAUGAGCCCCUAUGUCCUCGCUCCUGCAGCCCUGAUGUUGCCGUGGGCUAUUGAGUUGGAGAAGACCUUGGGCUUCCCUGUCCUGGCUUCCAGAAGGGGCAGAGCUCUACUGCAGGUCCUGGUCUUGCCUGCAGGUCAAGGGCCACCUCACCCUGAGUUCAAGCAGGCCCUUUCCCAGGAUGCGGGUGUCGCCUUGUUCCUGAGCGUCCCAGGCUGGCUCUCAUCCCAGUCUCAAAAUGAGCCUGUUUCUUUUCUCUUGCUGGAUUUGAUUUACAGUAACUGCCAGAUCCCACUAAUUGACAGUCCCUGGUCCGGCCUCCGGCCUCUGCCCAGCAGGACAGAGUCUAUUCAGUAGGUGCAGAGUGUCAUGGAAUCAGGGGUCAGAGGAUGGCAGAGCUGGAACCACUUGUUCUGGUGAAAAGAAAGCCAUCCAGCCAGAGGAAGUGAUUUGACAAAGUUCCAAUUAGUAAAAGAGCCCGCCCUGGAACCUGGAUCCCCUGGCUCCUACUCAGGGUCUUUCCAUUACUCAAAGCAGCCAGGCUCACUGGGUGAGAGGACGGCUUAGAAUCACAUCUAGAAGGCGCUCCCCCGCCCAUUGGGGUCACUGCUCUUCUGUUGCCAGUGGUGACAUUUCUGGUGCACUUCAAAUGCUGUGCAUGCAAGAAUCGCUAGAACCCAGGAGACGGAGGUUGCAGUGAGCCGAGAUCACGCCACUGCACUCCAGCCUGGGCAACAGAGAGAGACCUUGUCUCAAAAAAAAAAAAAAAAACCCAGAAAACAAAAAACAAAACAAAACAAAAACAAAUGCUGUGCAUGUUCAGGAGGCCUCCUUCCAGGUGUCACCAAGGAUGUGCUGGUGCUGGGCCUGGAAACACAUUCCACAGCAUCUUCUAGAAGAUGUUCUUACAAGUGUUCGCAAGAUAAAACAGCAAACUCCGCAAACUCAAAGACAUCGCAACGGAGAGGGGCAGGACACGGGAGGUGAUCGCUCAUGUCUAUGUGCGGUGUGCUGCGUCAUUUGCUCCUUAAACCAGCAAGAAAGGCUCAAAUCAGUCCCAGCCUGACAUUUGAGAGGCCCAGCGCGAAUGCACAAAGGGAGGCCCACAUGCCAUGUCUCUAAAUAUUUGAAAGUUAUAAAUCAAGUUAAUAAACUGGAAAAUAGGUUUUAU